rfam:Salmo salar isolate Sally breed double haploid chromosome ssa27, whole genome shotgun sequence.
AUCCCUGUGGCUCAGUUGGUAGAGCAUGGUGUUUGCAACGCCAGGGUUGUGGGUUCGAUUCCCACGGGGGGCC